UAUUACACCAGGUAUCAGUAGAGACACUAUCAUCUCUCUAUCAUCCAUAUUACACCAGGUAUCAGUAGAGACACUAUCAUCUCUCUAUCAUCCAUAUUACACCAGGUAUCAGUAGAGACACUAUCAUCUCUCUAUCAUCCAUAUUACACCAGGUAUCAGUAGAGACACUGUCAUCUCUUUAUCAUCCAUAUUACACCAGGUAUCAGUAGAGACACUAUCAUCUCUCUGUCAUCCAUAUUACACCAGGUAUCAGUAGAGACACUAUCAUCUCUCCUUCUAUCAUCCAUAUUACACCAGGUAUCAGUAGAGACACUAUCAUCUCUCCUUCUAUCAUCCAUAUUACACCAGGUAUCAGUAGAGACACUAUCAUCUCUCCUUCUAUCAUCCAU